CCGAAAGACACCACGGUAAAAAAAACACCCAUAUCCCUCGCUCAGUGCCCCAUCCAAUUCCAACCCCGACCGCGAGCGCCCUCAUGGUUCAAUGCCUCCAUUCUCCCGUGACACCGCAUCGCGCCGCCCCAGACCAGCCCUAGCGCGCUGCCGCAGAAGCCUAGCCCAGAGCGCCACGCACACUCGCUGAUUCGCGCCGCCAGAUGCUCCCCCAAUUCUUCGCACCACCGGAGCAUCUCCGUGCCGAACCAGGAUCCCCGCCGCCACGCAGGUUCUGGAUCUGGCCGUGUGUUCCCCGGAUGCUGUCGUGCUGAGUUCACCGACCGGCCGGCUCAGAUCCAUGCCACCUCUAUCGCUGAGAAGACACCCUCAUAUGGAGACCUAGGAGCUGGGCUCCGUUUUCCGCCGCCCCUCCAGAAGCAGCUCGACGGCGCUGAGGCUCCCGUAGAGGAUGGCCUGGUGGAGCAGCGUCAGUCCAAGGGGAAUAACCCUCGGAUUCUUGAUGGAAUACUGCUUUUCAAUGCACGGAUGGAUGGAUGCAGCGAGGAGCGCAAUCCCAUUGGUUAAUAACUUGGUUUACUAGGAGUAUGGUUUCCUGGCCUGGUGCCAGUUCUAAGGGAUGAGAUUUAUUCUAUCAUCAUGGGGAAGAUGGUUUUUAUUAUUACCGUACAAAAUUACAAGGUUUAGGACUUCAGUCUUCAGGUAGGUGAUCCCUGACCCAAAUGACAAAAAUAUAUACACCCUUGCCCCACUCCCCAAUAGUAAAAUAUGUACUAUCACUGUUAUUUUCAGUCUGUCAUUUUAGACUCACCUCUCCAUUUGUCACCAUCUUGGUUAUACAACUCAAUUUGUUAGUGUGCAUGAUAGUAAGCUCUGUACUAAUCUUUGUUAAAGUUGUGUACAAUGUAUGUAUAAACUGAGUUUUGUGCAUAUAAUGGCUCGAUCUAAUUCAUUAAUCACACAUGUCAUCCGUGAGAGGUUCCAGAUAAACAACUUGAUGUUAUAGUGAUGAACAAGCUAAAAAGGUAUGUUUUCUACCGCAUACAAAAUUCGUUCUCUUUCUAGGACUUAAGGUUGAUAUAGGAUAAGAAGUAAUUAAAGGCAGUAAACUCGAGGGAACUUCAAACAUCAGUUCAGUCUAUACCUUGGCUAUAAUGGAAGAUCAGUUAACGUGUUAAGCUGCUUGUUACAUCUUGGUCAGGCGAUUAUCAUUUCCCCUAUGUUGCUCAGGCGAUUCAGACAAUCAUCAUUUCCCCUGCUCAGGCGAUUAAAGUCAUUUCAGCUCAGUUCUAGAGUUCCUCAAUGUUUCAUCUUGCUUUGGAGUUAAUAUCAUUUUUGUUCAUUUGCUUCCUGGCAGAUGCAUCUGUAGAAUGUUAGUGGCUAGAUUUGUUCUUAACCCUUUCGCCUUUCAAAGGAUGAAGUCCAACUUGCCCAAGUACCUUUCGAAGGCCUAGCAAGUGGCCAUGUCCUUCACAUGUAUAAUAUAUCCAUGUUAAUACUUUGCUGAAACUCAACUUGCGGUUUUCUUUGCAUUCUUAUCCAGUCUGUCUACAUUGCAAUUUAUACCUUUGGAAAUGUUUUUCUCAAAGAUUUAUUUAUCAAACUUGACUCAGGGAGCUUUCAUUGCUUUCAUGUUUUCAGGAAACUGAGUUGUUUUCCCUCCCGUUCAAGACGGAUGCCAUGAGUUUUUCCUUGAUAUUAAUCACAUUGAUUUUGGUGUAUACAAUAAUAAGAAGUUAUUUGAUCACAUAGUAAGGGUUAUCCUUUUUUCUUCUGUUUUCUAAUGUACAUGAGGGUUUCAGCGGAUGUUCUCUUUAGAGAUAGAGGUCAACUGCAAGUUGUUUUUGCUUGUGGCAGUGGAUAUGAUGGGUAUUAUUGUUUCAAGCUUAUUUUUGUUUUGGGAGAGAGUAUAAUGACUAUUUGAUGCUUCAUAGUGGUGAAGAAGUUA